GCAAAAUGAAAGAAGCGAGCUGAUUGGUUGCUAUGAGCAACUGGGCAACUUUUUCUUUGCACAGGUUUUGAUAAAUCUCCCCCAGAAUUGUUAAUAUGGUGAAAGAUAUAAUUGGGCAUGGAAAAGAAAAAAAAGAGAAUGAACCAUUUACAAUUUCAUGAACAUAGGACUAAUACUCGUCCAUAUUUUGGAGAAAUAUCGUGAAUUUGAACAUGUCCCCUGCCGCUCAUCACUAAACAGAAUAAAGAAAAAAUAUUAUACAAAAAAUUGUAACGAAAAACCCCAGAAGAGGAAAAAUAAAUGACAAAGCUAUCAACUGGAAUCUCUGGGGAUAACCCAGCAUCAGCCUCUGAGCUUCCCGCACCAUUCCGGUGAUCCAUGGCGGCCCUACUACGCUGAUCCAUUUCACAGCGUUUAAUUGGAUAACAACUUUAUUCGUCUGGAUCUUCCUCAUUUCCUACUGGAUCUUAGACCAACUCUUCACCUGCCUACCAGCAUAAAGUUUUUCUUCUCUCAUAUACUUUUGAAAGACAUGAUUCUUCAUAGUUACAUAGUUACAUAGUUAGUACGGUCGAAAAAAGACAUAUGUCCAUCAAGUUCAACCAGGGAAUUAAGGGGUAGGGGUGUGGCGCGAUAUUGGGGAAGGGAUGAGAUUUUAUAUUUCUUCAUAAGCAUUAAUCUUAU